rnacentral:rRNA from 1 species
UUGACCUCAAAUCAGGUAGGACUACCCGCUGAACUUAAGCAUAUCAAUAAGCGGAGGAAAAGAAACUAACAAGGAUUCCCCCUAGUAACUGCGAGUGAAGCGGGAAAAGCUCAAAUUUGAAAUCUGGCAGCUCUUUGAACUGUCCGAGUUGUAAUCUAGAGAAGUGUUACCUGUGUUGGACCGUGUACAAGUCUCCUGGAAUGGAGCGUCACAGAGGGUGAGAAUCCCGUCUUUGACACGGACUGCCUGCACGUUAUGGUGCGCUCUCAAAGAGUCGAGUUGUUUGGGAAUGCAGCUCAAAAUGGGUGGUAAAUGCCAUCUAAAGCUAAAUAUUGGCGAGAGACCGAUAGCGAACAAGUACCGUGAGGGAAAGAUGAAAAGAACUUUGGAAAGAGAGUUAAACAGUACGUGAAAUUGCUGAAAGGGAAACGCUUGAAGUCAGUCGCGUCGGCUAGAAAUCAACCUUGCUUUUGCUUGGUGUACUUUCUUGUUGACGGGUCAGCAUCAAUUUUGACCGUCGGAUAAAGUCAUUGGGAAUGUGGCAUCUUAGGAUGUGUUAUAGCCCAUUGUCGCAUACGACGGUUGGGAUUGAGGAACUCAGCACGCCCGCAAGGGACGGGUUUUUUGACCACGUUCGUGCUUAGGAUGCUGGCAUAAUGGCUUUAAUCGACCCGU